rnacentral:rRNA from 1 species
AUUGAACGCUGGCGGCAUGCCUUACACAUGCAAGUCGAACGGUAACGGGCCUUCGGGUGCCGACGAGUGGCGAACGGGUGAGUAAUGUAUCGGAACGUACCUUUCAGUGGGGGAUAACGUAGCGAAAGUUACGCUAAUACCGCAUAUUCUGUGCGCAGGAAAGCAGGGGAUCGCAAGACCUUGCGCUGAUUGAGCGGCCGAUAUCAGAUUAGCUAGUUGGUGAGGUAAAGGCUCACCAAGGCGACGAUCUGUAGCGGGUCUGAGAGGAUGAUCCGCCACACUGGAACUGAGACACGGUCCAGACUCCUACGGGAGGCAGCAGUGGGGAAUUUUGGACAAUGGGGGCAACCCUGAUCCAGCCAUGCCGCGUGAGUGAAGGAGGCCUUCGGGUUGUAAAGCUCUUUCGGCCGGGAAGAAAUCGUAUCAGCUAAUACCUGGUGCGGAUGACGGUACCGGCACAAGAAGCACCGGCUAACUACGUGCCAGCCGCCGCGGUAAAAC